UUUUUUUUCGUGCCGAUGAAAAAGGUGGGGCUGCACUUUUUUCUUUGCGGUCUGCGUUGCCUGUUGCCAUUUGCACCGACACGUGGCCAAGGCGACAAGGCGUGAAAAAGACCAAAGAGCACCCGAUCGAGUCGGCCAUGAGCGCAGGCAUGGGGCAAGGCAGCGCCGCGCGCGCGGCGGGCACGAUCACGAUGACAGCAGAUGGGCGACGCUGGGCGGGAUACUCUCGGUGGGCUGUGGCGAAUUGGGCAUGCUCGUCGUGCGGCGCCCAGUGCUUGCGGAUCGGCUAACCGACGACUCGAAUCCAGAAUGUUAGACGGAUUGUUUGAUUCCUAUGAUUCAUUAUUAAACAAUUCUGUGUUGAUUAGGCGA
rnacentral:lncRNA from 1 species